CCGUGAGCCACCGCCGCCGUCCCCAAGCCACCGUCACCACCUCUUGCCACCGCCGCCUGAGAUUAGCUUCCGGUCCAUACUGAAAUGUCGCUCUCCGCGGCGUUCGGCGAGUGGCUGGAACAACUGGACCAGACCAGGAACCAGCGCCUCUCUCUCCUCCAGGUCUACUCCACCGCGACGCGAUCUCUCGAACUUUUCUUCGCGAGGCGAUCGGUUUGGAUCGGUAGCGGAUGAGAGGUGCUGGAAAUUUUUGCAGGCGAAGAGAGAGAGCUGCAAGCCGCCAAAUCGCUGGUCCUGGAGUCGAAGCGCGCAGCCAUCAGGUCGAUGGAAGAGAGGUGCUUGAGGCUCGAGUGGAGCCUGGCUUCGCAGAGCUUGAAGAUCUCGGCUCUCGAAUCUAAGAUUGCCGCUCUCGAUGCCGAGUACAACAACAAUGUCUAGCAAUUGAGGGAGUUGAAGUGCGAGGUGGAGGAGCUUGAGGAGGCGGAGAAGGAGAAGGACGGAUUCUACCGAGCGCAGACCGGCGAAAUGAAGGAUUUUAAAGAAGCUACUAACGGAUUCAUCGUGGAUUGCCAGAUUUGCAUAGAGGAAUUAAGAGACGAGCUAAAUGAGGUAAAAGAGAAGCUCUCUAUUUUCGGAUCUGUGAGCUAACGUGAUACUGUGCUGGAUCAUUCUGUUAGCUGGAUCAAAGGCUGCAAGGUGAUAGCGAUAACGGUGAACUUUUAUCGCUUGUUUGGCUACUAUACCAGAGAAUGAAGAAAGAUUAUUUUCCCCUGUUAUCUUCGCUCAUGUUCGAUUUUGAUUUGAUGAAAUAGAGCUAUGGCUCAUCUUGAGUAGCA